rnacentral:lncRNA from 12 species
AUGCUAUGUCCAUCGCGAGUGAGCUAUGGCUCUGCUUCACGGCCUCCUGCCUUGGGAUUCAGGCUGACAGAGAAGCUUCUAUCUGGAACACUGGAGCAGAGGGAAAAGAGAGCUUGGCAAAGCCCAAACUGGCUCUUAGAGCUGGACGUGACACACAUUACUUGUCACCUUCCAUUGGCCAAAUCAGGUCGCAUGGCCAAGCCCAACAUGAUUAGGAAGAGAAACUCUUACUCUCCCCUAAGCAGACGCAGGAGAGCUUCAGGUGUACUCGCUAGGAGCCAGUGUGGAAGGUCGCAGGAGAAGACCCUUGUCAUAGCAAGACAACCUGCUGUGAAAGUUGGAGAGCACCAAGACUGCAGUCUGGAGACCAGGUGCCCAGAGAUGGGAGCUAAGGGAAGAGCCAGUGCAGGUACGUACAGGGAGGUGACAACGCUGGCUGGAGUCACUAGUCAGGACAGCGGGGAAAUGAUCUCUCAGACCACUGGAAUCUGGGGCUGGGGAAAGAGGACCAGGCUGCAGAUACCUAUUUGGCUCUUCUGCCACCGCUUGCAGCCCCCAGAGUGUCUCCCAACCACUCCUCCUUUGAAGUAA